rnacentral:rRNA from 1 species
GACGAACGCUGGCGGCGUGCUUAACACAUGCAAGUCGAACGGAAAGGCCCUGCUUUUGUGGGGUGCUCGAGUGGCGAACGGGUGAGUAACACGUGAGUAACCUGCCCUUGACUUUGGGAUAACUUCAGGAAACUGGGGCUAAUACCGGAUAGGAGCUCCUGCUGCAUGGUGGGGGUUGGAAAGUUUCGGCGGUUGGGAUGGACUCGCGGCUUAUCAGCUUGUUGGUGGGGUAGUGGCUUACCAAGGCUUUGACGGGUAGCCGGCCUGAGAGGGUGACCGGCCACAUUGGGACUGAGAUACGGCCCAGACUCCUACGGGAGGCAGCGGUGGGGAAUAUUGCACAAUGGGCGGAAGCCUGAUGCAGCAACGCCGCGUGCGGGAUGACGGCCUUCGGGUUGUAAACCGCUUUCGCCUGUGACGAAGCGUGAGUGACGGUAAUGGGUAAAGAAGCACCGGCUAACUACGUG